AAUGAACGCUGGCGGCGUGCUUAACACAUGCAAGUCGAACGAGAAAGCUUGAAGCUUGCUUUGGGCGAGUAAAGUGGCGCACGGGUGAGUAACGCGUGGGUAAUCUACCUCCGAAUUCGGGAUAACACUUCGAAAGGGGUGCUAAUACCGGAUAACAUCCUUUGUACCUUGGUACAGGGGAUCAAAGAUAGCCGCUCCAUGGAAGCUAUUGUUUGGAGAUGAGCCCGCGUCCCAUUAGCUUGUUGGUAGGGUAAUGGCCUACCAAGGCAUCGAUGGGUAGCUGGUCUGAGAGGAUGGCCAGCCACACUGGAACUGGAACACGGUCCAGACUCCUACGGGUGGCUG
rnacentral:rRNA from 1 species